UACGUAGGGUGCAAGCGUUGUUCGGAAUUAUUGGGCGUAAGGCGCGUGUAGGCGGCUUGUUAAGUCGGGUGUGAAAGCCCUCAGCUCAACUGAGGAAGUGCGCCCGAAACUGGCGAGCUUGAGUGUCGGAGAGGAUGGCGGAAUACCCCAAGUAGAGGUGAAAUUCGUAGAUAUGGGGUGGAACACCAGUGGCGAAGGCGGCUCACUGGCCCGAUACUGACGCUGAGGUGCGAAAGCGUGGGGAGCAAACGGG
rnacentral:rRNA from 1 species